AAUAGACUAAUAGAUACAACUACUAGGGAUAAAGAAGAUAAGAGAAGAUGUACAAGAUAAGUGGAGAUAAUAUAGAUCUA